CGGAGGGAGCUAGCGUUGUUCGGAAUUACUGGGCGUAAAGCGCGCGUAGGCGGCUUUGUAAGUUAGAGGUGAAAGCCCGGAGCUCAACUCCGGAACUGCCUUUAAAAACUGCAUCGCUUGAAUCCGGGAGAGGUGAGUGGAAUUCCGAGUGUAGAGGUGAAAUUCGUAGAUAUUCGGAAGAACACCAGUGGCGAAGGCGGCUCACUGGACCGGUAUUGACGCUGAUGUGCGAAAGCGUGGGGAGCAGACAGGAUUAGAUACCCUGGUAGUCCACGCCGUAAACGAUGAUAACUAGCUGUCAGGGGCCAUGGGCUUUUGGUGGCGCAGCUAACGCAUUAAGUUAUCCGCCUGGGGAGUACGGCCGCAAGGUUA
rnacentral:rRNA from 1 species